GCGCAGCAUGUAAGGGGCGGGGAGGGGGCGCCCGCCCCCCCGAACUUUUCGGUUAGUAGUGUUACGUAUGUGUUUUUCGUAUAGAAAUUUUUAGGGAUAUACGUUUUCACCCCCCCGAAUUUAAAAAAAAAAUUAUGUAUAUACGUGUUCGACCCCCUCGGUUUUAUAAAUUUUUUUUUGUAUAUACGUAUUCGACCCCGGUUUUCUAUUAUGUAGCCCAAAUAAAAUACUUAAUUAGCCCAAAUCAAUUUAUUAUACACCAAAAUCAUACAAGCCCAAAAUAAAAGCCCACCAUCCAAAAAAAAAAUAAACCCAAAUUCAGUCCUGGUGGAAUACGAGCAUAACCAGUCGCACGCACAGAACAGAAGGGGGAAAGAAACCCCAAAUCGCUGCUGACCUGCUGGUGUUGUUCGAGUCCGAGGGCAGGGGUCUUGAACUUGCUCGAUUUCUUCACGAAUCACGGCUCAUCCUCAGGUUGAAAUUGGGGGUGAAUUUUAGCCCUAAACUUGUUGAAAUUGUCAAUCUUCGACGAAUUCUUCUUGAAUCUUCAUAAGAUUAUGCUAUGGGAUUGACCGGCUGCUGCUGUGCCUGCUCUUGUUCGACUGCAAGCUGUUGCGCUACUUGUUGUGGUCUUGUUUGACUUCUUCAAUCUUCAUAAGGUUAAAGGUAUGUGUUUUUCUAUCUUUAGGUUUAAUUUAGGGCUACAAUUUAUGUGAUUUAGGUUGAAAUUAGGGGAGAAUUUUAACCCUAAACUUGUUGAAAUUAGGGGUAGAACUAUAAUUCUUCAGGCAGAAAUUAGGGCAGAACUGAAUUUUAGCCCUAAACUUGUUGAAAUUAGAGGUGAAUAUUAACCCUAAACUUGUGAUUUAGGUAGAAAUUAGGGUCAGAACUGAAAUUAGGGCUGCAAUUUAUGUGAUUUAGGUUGAAAUUAGGGACAGAACUAUAAUUCUUCAUCCAAGUGAACCGGGUACCCCACCUUCCUCAUCUUUUUAAUGUUUUGGUGUCUUUGUUCAAUUGUUUGUUAAACAAUGUUUAAGUUUUAAUGUUUGAGAACAUUUUUUAUUUGAUAUUAGCGUUUGACCCGACCCGACCCGAAUCGAAUCACCGACGUCCGACCCGAACAUAGAAAUUUUUUUUAGGUCCGGUGCCUUCCGCCCCCCCAAACUUUUUUUCCAAACUUCGCCACUGCUCAUGU